AUUACAUCCUAUAACUCAUUUUCUAUAAAGUUAUACAUUAGUGACUCAUAAAAUUAUUUUAUGCAUAAAUCUCUCAAAUAUUUUUGAACUUUUACAUUUAUACCUCAUUUUAUUUUGAUUCCUAUUUUACCCUUUAUUAAUAAAUGGAGGCUAUUAUCCUCUAGAAAGCAAAUCGUUUUUUCUCUAACGUCGGAGGAGGAGCGCUAGGGACGCUGCAACAAAGGGAAGAAGAUGACGGAUCCGCCAUCAGAGGAUGUCGCGAUAUAGACGGUGUUCAUGCUCUGAUAUUUCACAAUACGAUGAAGAUCCAUUUGUCAUCGGUGCUUUCGGAGCUUCGCAACUGGAAUUAUUCUCGGCUUAAAAUUGGGCACUAAUUAGAUGUGUCAAUCCUCCAAAAAUUCCAGAAUAUUAUGAAUUUGGAAUUCCGUACGAGUCAUCACACGAAACAACUAACAAAUACUUGCAGUGUGAACUGAAGAUAUAAGAGAACACCUUGAGUUUGAGUUGUACUAAAUGUAUUAUAUCUUCUUGUUGUAACUUGUAACUAUAAUGGCGCUUAUGUUGUAAAUUUAAUUGAGAAUAUCACAGUGAAGUUGUAAUGUGGACGUCGCUGAGCUGCUGAACAGUUGGCAAUGAUGAUGAUAUGUUGGUCUAUGUAUAAACAUUGUCUUGUGAAAUCAUUCAUUUAGCAAA